GUGCUGGUGCUUGCACUGGAUGAUGACCCUACUUCAGCUUGAGGCAUGUUAUCAGCAGAAGACAGAACAACAAUUGGCUCGUGGACGUCAGUGCCUGAAACUAUAUUCUGUUCCAUUACACUCUCUGCUCUCCGCUCCAUUUUGGUCGAACCCAAGCUGAUGUCGCUGCUACUGGCCACGCUACACACAGAACUGCUGCUUCCUUUUCUACUUGAGGAGCCUGCAGCAGCAGUCGUCUUGUCUGGACAGUUGUUUUUCACCAAGCUGCUCCAUGACUGCGUUGUGCCUGAAACAGUGGAUGAAACAGGUUUGGGUGAUGCCGCUGAAUCAGGGUCGUACCCUGGUGCAAGCUUGAGGUCAAACUUUCCUUCUGCGCCCAUACGAUGGGAACACUGGGAGAGAGCUUGAUUUCCUGUUCAGAUGCAUAUUACAUUACCG
rnacentral:lncRNA from 1 species